GAGUACUAACGAGGAUACAAAUUUGGAAGAUAAUUGACAGAUUUGGACAGAACUUAAAAACAAACUUUAUUUAAACGCGUGCGUGCAUUCACACGUACCUGAGGUCUGCUUGAGGUAUAUAGGACUGAAUGAACUCGUGUAGUGCAUCGUGAAUGAUUUUCUGGAUGUCCAUCUUAUCAGCAAUUAGACAAAAAUAAAAGAAGAGGGGACAGAGAAGAAAAUAACAACUUGUUUACAAGCUGAUUCUGUUUUGCUCCAAUCAAUAACACGGCUCUUCUCCGGAUCAUGGAUCAAUAGAGGCAAACACUCUUGUGCGGUCUGUACCUGCUAUAAUAGGCUGGCUUGCAUACUGGCCGUAGCUGGGGGCAUGAUGGGCAUAGGCACCGUAGCAGGGGGUGGAGGCAUCUACUGACACGCUGGGCUGGAGGGGCAACAGUUCCGCUAGACCCGAGACUGCCAGUGAGGAGGGGGUGAACGGAGCCAGGGAAGCCUCGUGCGGCUCCUGCUUUACACACAGCGAGGAUGAAUGCAACUCUGCCAGACAUUGAGCUCUGUUGCUUUCAGCCCCCCCCCCCAUUUCUCCUGCCAUGUCUCUGAAGAGAUUUGGAACAAGGGGGAAACCUUCAGCACCUGCUCAGGUUUGCUGCGGGUCGGAGGGGUGCCCAUUUACAUGGUACCAUCCCACUGGCACCGGGAAGACUUCCAUUAUAGGGCUCGGCAUGGACGGUGCUUUAGAAGUCGUGCCGGUCAUUCAUUGUGAAGGUAUGUGCAAGCGCUUUUUUAAGGGUUGGCCGUGUCUGGACAGCAUCCAGGCAUUUUACUGCAGUUUGAAUAAAUCAUUAUUUAUUCAUUCAUUUUUUACGUCUACACAUGAAAGCAGGGAAUGACUCAUAGGGUCAUGCAUUGCUCCUGAUAAGACUGAAGCACUUUUUGUUUAUUCUGUUACUAUUUAAUUUUGGGAAAACUGGUAUUACAUUUUUUAUUAAUUGUAUUAUUAAUCUAUAAUGUUGACUUUUUUAAGCGUAUGUAUAUUAUUUUGUACAAGCUGACACAACCAAAAUAACUUCCAGUGUUUGCCUUAAAUUGAAAUGCAUUAGAAAUUCCUUCUUAUUUCUUUUUUGGCUGCCUUUAGGUAUUGAGCAGUAACCCCUAAACCUAAUUGGGUAAACAGUGAACACAACAAACAUGUCUCCUAUGCCUUACAGUGCCCUUAAAAUUCCAAUUUCUGUUUGUAAUGAAGAGUUCAUUAAUCAUUCAUCUUUAAUAGAUUAUGCAAAUCUCGUGACAUAAAAUCAACAAGAUCAAUGGCAGCGUGAAUUUUAAUUGGCUCAGGAAAACAUUGCUGGGAAUGAGCAUAAUCUCCAGCUCUAUCCAAUGAGAGGGAGUAAUUUAUUCGGAAUUAGCUCUCAGUGUAAAUGUGUAGGGUAAUUUAGCACCUCCUUUAACUCUGCCCUUAUUCCUAUUUCCAG